rnacentral:rRNA from 1 species
GAGUUUGAUCCUGGCUCAGAGCGAACGCUGGCGGCAGGCUUAACACAUGCAAGUCGAGCGCCCGUAGCAAUACGGGAGCGGCAGACGGGAGAGUAACACGUGGGAACGUACCCUUCAGUUCGGAAUAACCCGGGGAAACUCGGACUAAUACCGGAUACGUCCGUAAGGAGAAAGAUUUAUCGCUGAAGGAUCGGCCCGCGUCUGAUUAGCUAGUUGGUGGGGUAAUGGCCCACCAAGGCGACGAUCAGUAGCUGGUCUGAGAGGAUGAUCAGCCUCACUGGGACUGAGACACGGCCCAGACUCCUACGGGAGGCAGCAGUGGGGAAUAUUGGACAAUGGGCGAAAGCCUGAUCCAGCCAUGCCGCGUGGAUGAUGAAGGCCCUAGGGUUGUAAAGUCCUUUCGACGGGGAAGAUAAUGACGGUACCCGUAGAAGAAGCCCCGGCUAACUUCGUGCCAGCAGCCGCUGUAAG